CUACGGGGCGCUGCAGUGGGGAAUCUUGGACAAUGGGCGCAAGCCUGAUCCAGCCAUGCCGCGUGAGUGAAGAAGGCCUUAGGGUCGUAAAGCUCUUUCGCCAGAGAUGAUAAUGACAGUAUCUGGUAAAGAAACCCCGGCUAACUCCGUGCCAGCAGCCGCGGUAAUACGGAGGGGGUUAGCGUUGUUCGGAAUUACUGGGCGUAAAGCGCGCGUAGGCGGAUUAGUCAGUCAGAGGUGAAAUCCCAGGGCUCAACCCUGGAACUGCCUUUGAUACUGCUAGUCUUGAGUUCGAGAGAGGUGAGUGGAAUUCCGAGUGUAGAGGUGAAAUUCGUAGAUAUUCGGAGGAACACCAGUGGCGAAGGCGGCUCACUGGCUCGAUACUGACGCUGAGGUGCGAAAGUGUGGGGAGCAAACAGGAUUAGAUACCCGGGUAGUC
rnacentral:rRNA from 1 species